GUUACAAAACGGGGUGAGUGGUGGGCGUGGCCUGCGAGCCCGAUUUGACGGGCUGCUGGGCGGCCGGGUUGUGCUGAAUACUCAGGCAGCAAGCACGGCCCCGGUCGCCGCGCAGCUCUUAGUCAAGGCGUGGCACUUUGGGGUCACCGGAAAGUCAGGAGCCUCGGAGCCCUGAACAGUGUAAGGGCCAUCACCGGGCUGUACAUGGUGGUGCUGUGCUGGGCCAUCUGUUACACUAUACACGUCACAACACCCCCCCCCCCCCUCACCAAACAUCCUCACUCACACCCUCACUCAGCCACAACCACCCACACCCCAUUAUGUCUUCCUUCCCCCACCAACUCUUAAAAUCUGCUUACCCCAACUUGGCCGAACGAACAUCCAUCACAAUUGUCUCUCUCUCACUCUUAGUUUUUUUUUGAGAGAGAGAGAGAGAGAGAGAGAGAGAGAGAGAGAGAGAGAGAGAGAGACUUAAAAUAGGACCUAACUUGCCUAUAAAAAAGUGUUAUUGUAUAUUUUAGGAAAAAUAGUUAAACUGAAAUAAGAACACUGUAAGGAGGGGUCCUAUUGUACUAUAAAGAGAGCCUCUGUAAAGGAAAAGGUUAAUGUAAAGAUAUGGAGGGUAGUGUCAUGUAAAGGAAGUUAGAGGCAAUGCAUAGAGGAGUACCUAUAUAUGAAGGGAAGUUAGUGCCCAUAUAUAAAGUUAAGUGCCAAGAUGUAAAUGAACUUAGUAUCGAUAUGUAAAGGAAGUUAGAGCCGUAUGUAAAGGAAAGACUGCCAAUAUGUAAAUGAAGGGAGUGCUAGAGUAUAAAAUAAUAUUGCCAAUAUCUAAAGGAAGGGAGUGUCAGAGUAUAAGGUAACAUAGUGCCAGUAUGUAGAAGAGGGGCGUGCUAGAGUAUAAGGUAGUGGAGUGCCAAUAUCUAAAGGAAGGGAGUGUCGGAGUAUAAGGUAACAUAGUGCCAGUAUGUAGAAGAGGGGAGUGCUAGAGUAUAAGGUAGUGGAGUGCCAAUAUCUAAAGGAAGGGAGUGUCAGAGUAUAAGGUAACAUAGUGCCAGUAUGUAGAAGAGGGGAGUGCUAGAGUAUAAGGUAGUGGAGUGCCAAUAUCUAAAGGAAGGGAGUGUCAGAGUAUAAGGUAACAGUGCCAGUAUGUAGAAGAGGGGAGUGCUAGAGUAUAAGGUAGUAGAGUGCCAAUAUCUAAAGGAAGGGAGUGUCAGAGUAUAAGGUAACAGUGCCAGUAUGUAAAAGAGGGGAGUGCUAGAGUAUAAGGUAGUAGAGUGCCAAUAUCUAAAGGAAGGGAGUGCCGAUGUGAACAGAAGAAAUGGUGCAAACUUCAAGCGGGAACAAAAGCCACUAAUGAGAAAACGAUUCGCUCUUGUGUGUCGUAGCGGUGCCGGUGUUGAGGAGUAGAGUGCCAGGUAGAGGAAUGAGUGCCUCUUCU